rnacentral:rRNA from 1 species
GUCCUUUUGAAUUUUAUUUAAGGUCUGACCUGCCCACUGAUUUAUUUAAUGGCCGCGGUAUUAUGACCGUGCAAAGGUAGCAUAAUAAUUUGUCUUUUAAUUGAAGGCUUGAAUGAAUGGUUGGACGAGAAAAUUACUUUCUUUAUAAUAAAUUAAUAAUUUUAUUUUUUAGUUAAAAAGCUAAAAUUUUAUUGUAGGACGAGAAGACCCUAUAGAACUUUAUAUUUAUUAUUAUAUUAAUAUUUUUGGUUAAUAAUGGAUUAUAUAAUAUUAAUUAUUUUGUUGGGGCGACAAGAAAAUUUAUAUAACUUUUUUAUUUAAUUUCAUUAAUUAAUGUGUAAAUGAUCCUUUAUUAAAGAUAAAUAGAAUAAGUUACCUUAGGGAUAACAGCGUAAUUUUUUUGGAGAGUUCUUAUCAAUAAAAAAGUUUGCGA